GUCUAUGGCCAUGCCACCCUGAACAAGCCCAAUCCCAUCUGAUCUCAGAAGAUAAACAGAGUCAGGCCUGGUUAGUACUUGGAUGGUAGACCACAAAGGAAGACCUGGCACUACAAGCA
rnacentral:rRNA from 1 species